AGCGAACGCUGGCGGCAGGCCUAACACAUGCAAGUCGAACGGAUCCUUCGGGAUUAGUGGCGGACGGGUGAGUAACACGUGGGAACGUGCCCUUUGGUUCGGAACAACUCAGGGAAACUUGAGCUCAUACCGGAAGGGCCCUUCGGGGGAAAGAUUUAUCGCCAUUGGAGCGGCCCGCGUCUGAUUAGCUAGUUGGUGAGGUAAAGGCUCACCAAGGCUACGAUCAGUAGCUGGUCUGAGAGGAUGAUCAGCCACAUUGGGACUGAGACACGGCCCAAACUCCUACGGGAGGCAGCAGCGGGGAAUCUUGCGCAAUGGGCGAAAGCCUGACGCAGCCAUGCCGCGUGAAUGAUGAAGGUCUUAGGAUUGUAAAAUUCUUUCACCGGGGACGAUAAUGACGGUACCCGGAGAAGAAGCCCCGGCUAACUUCGUGCCAGCAGCCGCCGUAAAAC
rnacentral:rRNA from 1 species